rnacentral:lncRNA from 1 species
CUAUGCUUACUCCAUCUUACUUCUCUUAGGUCUUACAAUGGAAGUGCCCUAUUACAUUUUGUUCUUUUCUAUGAUUUCCAAUUAUUUUAUGAAAUUUUUCAUUUAUUUUUUCUGUUCUUUCUAUCUUUAAUUUCUAUGUAACUUUUUGAAAUAGAUCUCAAAGAUUUUAUAUAUAUAUAUAUAUAUAUAUAUACACACACACACAGAGAGAGAGAUAUAUAUCUACUGUACUAUUGAAGUAGAUUCCUAAAGUUUUUAUCUCUUCUAGAAUAUUGGUUUCACAACACCCCUAUUAUGUGUAUUUAAUUUUACCCACCACAUGGCGUUUUCAAAAAGUCUUUAUUUGGCGGAAUACAACUUCAGAAUCUGAUUCGAAGAGAAAAUUGCUCACAGCCGUGAGCCACUGUGCCUGGCCGAUUUUUACUAUUUAAAGAAGGAAGAAUUUUAGCAGCGUGGGGUGGCUCAUGCCUGUAAUCCCAGCACUUUGGGAGGCUGAGGUGGGCGGAUCACUUGAGGCCAGUAGUUCAAGAACAGCCUGGCCAACAUGACGAAACCCCAUCUCUACUAAAAAUACAAAAAUUAGCCAGGCGUGGUGGCACGUGCCUGUAGUCCCAGCUACUCGAAGGCUUAGGCAGGAGAAUCGCUUGAAUCAGAGACAGGGAGGCUGCAAUGAGCCGAGAUUGCACCACUGCACUCCAGCCUGGGCGACAGUGCAAGACUCCAUCUCAAAAAUAAAGAGGAAUUGGAGGAGGAAAUAAAUGAAUAAAUGACAAAGGUGACAAAGGACCAAAGAUCUGUGACUUGUGCAAAGAUUGCUCUGUGUUUGCUGCAGGUCUAGAAGAUGUCACAGAAUUUCAAGGAAGAGAGGGGCAGUUAUCAUGGGACACCCGCCAUAUGCUGGCAAGGAAGAUGGUCAGUUCUUCUGAGCCACAAAGGCCCCCAACAUCCUGGAGUUGGUGUUGCCUAGCAUCCACGGUGCGCCCCCUGCUGGUGGAUGGCUCAGGAUGGGGCAGUUGCCGUGGGAGGCCCGCUGCCUGCUGGAAGGAAGAUGGUCAGUUCUUCUGAACCACAAAGGCCCUGCAGAGUCCUGGAGUCUGUGUGGCCUGGCUUCCAGGGUUCACCUCAUGCUGGUGGAUUGCUCAGGAUGGGUGCCGAAGGUCUUUAAGGUCGUCAGCUCACCUACUGCCCAGCCUGUGGUGUCAAAUGUCCUGCCUCUUCAAAUGUGUUUGGAUCGAUGAUGAGUCCCCCCAAAAAAACAUUCCUUGGAAAAGCUGAACAAAAUGAGUGAAAACUCAUACCGUCGUUCUCAGCGGAACUGAGGUCCAGCGCGUUGCCUCCAGCAGGGACUGUUGGAGUGAGGGAGAGCUUCCACUAGUCCCUAUAGGUUCCACCACCCAGGGCAUCCGCAGGUGCACCUCACCUAAGAGGGUGGCCAGAGACAGUGUCUUGUCAUGACAUCAGAAGCCCCAUGAGGAAGAGGAGGAGCCUGUGCUCCUGCCAGAGGUGGUGGCUGUUAGGGACAGUUGCCGUGGGAGGUCCGCUGCCUGCUGUCAAGGAAGAUGGUCGAUGCUUCUGAGAAACAGGCCCUGCGGGUUCCUGGAUUUGGUGUGGCCUGGCAUCCACGGUGCACCCCGUGCUGGCGGGUGGCCCAGGACGGGGCAGUUGCCUUGAGAGGCCCACCGCCUGCUGGCAUGACAGAUGGUCAGUUCUUCCGAGCAGUGGAAUCUCCAUGGAGUCGUGGAGUCGGUGUGGCCUCGCAUCCACAGUGCACCCUGUGCUGGUGGAUGGCUCAGGACAGGGCAGUUGCCGUGGGAGGCCUGCCGUCUGCUGAAAGGAAGAUGGUUGAUGCUUCUGAGCAAUGAAGGCCCCAUGGAGUCCUGGAUUCGGUGUGGCCUUGCAUCCGUGGUGCACCCCGUGCUGGUGGAUGGCUCAGGACGGGGCAGUUGCCAUGGGAGGCGCAGGCCUGCUGGAAGGAAGAUGGUCGAUUCUCCCAAGCAACAAAGGCCACGUAGAGUCCUGGUUUCAGUGUGGCCUGGUAUCCACAGUGCACCCCGUGCUGGUGGGUGGCUCAGGACGCACACUCAUUUCCUCUGCACCUUCCUGGUGUCAUUGGCAUGGAAGGAAGGCCCUUGUCCAAGAAGGAUGGUCUUCGUCUUGUGUGAUCUUUGAGAUGCCAUGAGGCCCCUGGAUACAAAUGGUGUGGGCUCCUUUGGAGGCUUUUGGAUUUCUCCUGAAUGUGGCGUUGGUAUGGAAGGAAGGCCAGUGACCGCAAGGGAUGACUUUGAUCUUGGGAGAUUUUUGGAGAUGGCAAAGUGCUUCUAAACAUGUUUGGCAUGGUCUCCUUCAGGCUGGUGGAUACCUCAGGAUGGUGGCGUUGGCAUGGAAGGAAGGACUGUGUCUGUGAGGGAUGAUCAUCCUCUCAUGUGAUCCUUGGAGAUGCCAGGAAGCCCCUUGACACAUGUGGCAUGGGCUCCUUCAGAGGCUUUUGGAUCCGUCGUGAAUGUGGCAUGGGCAUGCAAAGAAAGACAGAGGCUGCAAGGGAUAAACUUCAUCUUGGGAGAUCCCUGGAGAUGGCAGGGAACCCAUGGACACAUGUGGCAUGGGCUCCUUUGGGUGCCGGUGGAUCCCUUCAUACGGUAGUGUUGGUGUAAAAGGCAAACCCGUGUCAUGAGGGAUGGUCAUCAUCUUGUGUGAUCCUUGGAGAUGGCAGGAAGCCCUGGACAUACAUGGUGUGGGGGCUCCUCCAGAGGCUGUUGGGAUCCUCCUGGAUGUGGUGUGGGCAUGGAAGGAAGGCCAGUGGAGACAAUGGAUGAUCUUGUUCUUAGCAGAUCACUGGAUGUGGCAGGGAGUCCUAGGACAUGUGUGGUGUGGGCUUCUUCAGGUGCUGCACACUCGUAUUUCCGCUGCACUUCCCAGGUGGUGUUGGCAUGAGGAAAGGAGGUAUCUUCGAGGGACAAUCUUCUUCUUGUGCGAUCCUUGGAGAUGCCAUGAGGCCCCUGGACACAUGUGGUGUGGGCUCCUUUGGAGGCUGUUGUAUCCCUUCUGAAUGUGGCGUGGGCAUAGAAGGAAGGCCAGUGGCCACGAGGGACAAUCUUGGUCUUGGGAGAUCCUGGAAAUGAUAGGGAGUCCCUUGAUAUGUGUGGCAUGGGCUCCUUCAGGUGCUAGUGGAUUCCUUAGGAUGGUGGUGUUGGCAUGAAAGGCAGGCUUGUAUCAUGAGGAAUGAUUGUCAUCUUGUCUGAUUCUUGGAGAUGGCAGGAAGCCCCUGGAAACACAUGGUGUGGACUCUUUCACAGGCUGUUGAAACCCUCCUGAAUGUGAGGCCAGAGACAGGCAGACAGCAGAUGUAUUGCAGGGAGCUGGAUGACAUGGCCCUUGGAACCUGUGCACAUGCCUGCCUUUCUGAUGCACGUCCAUGUUUUCUCUGCACCUCCCCGGUGGUGUUGGUAUAAAAAGCAGGCUUACAUCAGCAAGGGAUGAUUGUCGUCUCAUGCGAUCCUGGGAGAUGGCAGAAGUCCCGGGACACAUGGAGUGUGGGCUCUUUCGGAGGCUGUUGGAUCCCUCCUGAAUGUGUUGUGGCCAUGGAAGUAAGGCCAGUGGCUACGAGGGACAGUCUUCAUCUUGGGAGAUCCCUAGAGAGGGCAGGGAGCCCCUUGACAUGUGGAAUGUGAUCUCUGUUGGGUGCUGGUGGAUCCCACAGGUGGUCUGGCAUGGAAGAAGGCCAGAGGCUGCGAUGGAUCAUCUUUGUCUUGGGAGAUUCCUGGAGAUGGUGGGGAGCCCCUGGGCACGUGCAGCAUAUGUGGCGUGGGCUUCUUCAGGUGCUGGUGGAUCCCUCAGGAUGCUUUUCAAGGUUUUUCUAUGAGUUCUGUUAAAGAGUCUGAAAAUGGAGCGUAGAAGACAUGCUUCGAUUUCCAGGAUGGUUGUGUUUUCCAGAGAGGCGGAGGUAAACCACUGGCGCAGCCCUGCCUCCCACAGAUAAUUCCGGGUGCAGUGUUUCAUAUCUAGACUUGGACUUCUAUCCUACCAUACUUCUUUGUGUGCAGUUCAUUGUGGAACCAGCACAGAUUUUCAUACGAAAGUUAUUUCUUUUUAACCUCAAAAAGUGACAGAAUGGAGUGUAUCAUGAAAAAGUCUGACAUCAAAACCUCAAAAUGUGAUAUUGAUUGGGUGAGAUAGAAUUCCAUGGAAUUUCAUUGCCAAACCAGUGAAGUGCUAAUUUUGACAUUUGUACCAGCUAACGUAGCUGUGAAGAAACACACCAAUACACUUCUAAGGACAGCAUAGACCAAGAUCUAGGUUUCAUAUGGAUGAAUUUAUUCUUCCCUUUGAGGCAAGACAAGAAGGAAAGAAAGUAUUGGGAAUAAUGCUGCCCUCCCAUCCUCAAGGGCCAGUGGGAACUCUAAUAUUGAUUGGGUGAGAUACAAUUCCAUGGAAUUUUACCACUGAACCAGUGGAGGGCUAAUUUUGUCAUUUGUACCAGUUAACUAACUUGGGAGGAAACAGAACAACACACUCCUGAGAUUGGUUUUCACAGAAUUCCAUGGACUUUAACUGCUGAACCAAUGAUGCACUGAUUUUGUCACUUGUACCAGCUAACGCAUCUGGGAGGCAACAAAACAAUACUCUCCUGAGGUUAAUGUGGACCAAAAACUAGAUUUCAUAUAAAAGAGUUUAUUCCUUCUACUUGAGGUGUGACAUGAAGGAAAGUAAUGGAAAUAAUUCUGCCCUCCCAUUCUCAAGGGCCAGGGGGAAUUCAAAUAUUGAACGGAAGUGAUUUUGGAAUUGCAUGGAAUUCUCACUGCCAUCCCAAAGAAAUGCUGAUCUUGUCACUCUUACCUGUUUCAUUCCCUGGGGGCAGAACAAAAGGACGCACUCCAAAGAUCGGCAUGAACCAAGAACUGGGUUUCAUAUAAAAUAUUUUAUUCUGUCCUCUUGAGAUGUGACAUGAGAAAAGUAUUGAGAAUACUUCUAUCACCUCAUCUUCAAGAAUCCGUAGGAAUUCUCCCAUGGUGGACUUUACGGUUAACCUGAACAGGUCUUGGAAAAAGGACUUUAAACAUUCUCCUGUUCUGUGGAAUAAGUAUACUUUUUUCUGGACAUACACCUUGUCAGUGAGUUCCAUGUGAUACUAGAGUUGCAUAGAUUUUUAACCUUUACGCCAAUGAAGAUCUGAGGCAAACAUUGCCCCUUUUUUAGAAGUUUGCAUUUGUCACUGAUAACUGUAAUAAUUGAUCUUGUUGAAAAGCCUGGGAAAUGAAGAUCUGAUAUGUCACUUUUACCGGCUUCCUCAACUGAAAAAGAAUACAAUGAAACACGCUGAGAAUUUUUGUGCUUUCUCAGUCUUGCUGAUGAUCUUUCUAUGGGCCUGAAGCGUGGAGAGUGCCAGAGAGGCUGAUCCUCAGCAGUGUGGCAGAGGAAAGUUGGGUGCGACUAAGGGGUAUGCGGUGCCCACAUGCCACUGGGUCCUCAGCAGUACCACCUGAUUGGAAGUGAUAUUGGUGGAAGACAACAUUUUGCCGCUUGGAAUUCUCACCUCCACACCAAAGAAGUACUGUUUUUGUCAUUUGCACCAGCUUCUUUCUCCAGGAAAGAUCAAAACGAUGCACUGCAAGUGUGAUUGGUCCAGAUAGCUGCCUUAUCCAACUGCCUCCUUUGGACCACUUCAUCAUGGGACAGCUUGAUGCAAUCUACUUGACAAGACCCUGGAACCCCACACCCCUCAUGGAACCAGUGUCCACCUCCCAGUCACAGUGUGACCCCAGGGAACUCUUGCCUGCUUGCUUUAAACCCACCACUUAAAAGUCUCCACAGAAAACCUGUUUGAAUAGUACCCUUGACCCAAUAAGGGCAUUGGCCCCUGGGUGUCUCUCUCUCUCUCUCUCUCUCUCUCUCCCUCUCUCUCCCUCUCUCUCUCUCGCUCCCUGACCUCUGCGUGUGGACUCCAGGCAUGCCAUAUACCCCUCAGGACCUGAAGCAAAAGAAUGAAUUAAAGAAAACUCCAGAGAAUGAGCUGACAACCUACUCCCUGGUCAGUGGCUCUCCAUGCCUACCUGUGGUCUCUUGGACACCCUUGCAGAAGAUGACUUCCUGGGAACUCUUCUGGGAGUGAAUGUUAUCAGCAAAUUCCCAAAACAACACCCCUUAGACAAAAAGCCUCCUCACCUAUGCAUUGCCUAGACCACCCACUAAAGUAAACUGAACUCCUUCAUGGCUUGAUCCAUUGUGAUGCUAGAAAAUUGUUGUACACAGAAGA